AUCCCGAUGGGACUGGAAGGAAACCGGCAGACCUGCACUGGGAGGAGCCAGGAGCAGGCUGGCAGCUGGCCCUGUGCCAUAUCCAUCCCCUGUCUGAUGCGACGGCAGCAGCGCUCCACGGAGCUUAUUCCAAGGCGGCGUAAUCUUUCUAAGCAGCAAAGAGGGGCAGGGACGCCGCUGAGCUCCCGGCAGACAGAGCCCUGCGUCGGGAGGUAAUAACUCUUCAGGGACUUGGCGCCGAGCGCUGACAAGCCGCCGGGAGGGCUGUGGAAAUCCGUUCUGCGGAUGAGCCGAGAGGAUUCUCCUGCUAUCCCCCUAAAGCCUGCGUGUCACCUAGUCCAAUAAAAGGCAU